rnacentral:rRNA from 1 species
GAUGAACGCUGGCGGCGUGCCUAAUACAUGCAAGUCGAGCGAACAGAUGAGGAGCUUGCUCCUCUGACGUUAGCGGCGGACGGGUGAGUAACACGUGGAUAACCUACCUAUAAGACUGGGAUAACUUCGGGAAACCGGAGCUAAUACCGGAUAAUAUAUUGAACCGCAUGGUUCAAUAGUGAAAGACGGUUUUGCUGUCACUUAUAGAUGGAUCCGCGCCGCAUUAGCUAGUUGGUAAGGUAACGGCUUACCAAGGCAACGAUGCGUAGCCGACCUGAGAGGGUGAGCGGCCACACUGGAACUGAGACACGGUCCAGACCCCUACGGGAGGCAGCAGUAGGAAAUCUUCCGCAAUGGGCGAAAGCCUGACGGAGCAACGCCGCGUGAGUGAUGAAGGUCUUCGGAUCGUAAAACUCUGUUAUUAGGGAAGAACAAAUGUGUAAGUAACUAUGCACGUCUUGACGGUACCUAAUCAGAAAGCCACGGCUAACUACUU